AUUGAUAUAAUACACAUGUAGAUAUAUGUAUGAACAUAUGUAUGUUUAUGUGCAUAUACAAUUUUCUAUAUCACUUACCACAGAAUAUAUUUCUAACUGUCUCAACAUCGCUAUAAAAUCACCAAUUCCUUUCAACUUUUAUAAUGUCUACCAGUUCUCACACAUUAUUACCCAUUUUGUAUGUCAUGAGAAUAUUCACAAAUUACCGUUAAAAUAUUGCAAAUGUUUGAUAUGAAACAAUAAAAUGCUAACAAUACUAAUUGAACUCUCCUAUUUCACCUAUUUACUUAUCACUUGUUUCACCUACAGAAAUUAUGAUAUUAUCAGUUAAAAACACUGACGUUAGCCUAAAAUAUUGGUCUCGAUAUUGAUCUUACUGCAAACAUUAGAUAUUAUCUACACAUAUAUAUAUAAAAAUUUCAUGUUACUUUGUUUGUCCGGGAUUGGCACCUAAUCUACUGAACCGAUCUUAAUGAAAUUUUGCACAUGACUGCAGUUUGGUUCAACUUAAGAGAUAGGAUAGUUUAUAUUUCAAAUUUUAGUCGCAAUGUCCAUCCGUCUGUCCAUUCGGCCAAUCGGUCAAGCGAUACUUUGAAUUGAAAUCUGGAUAUCUUAAUAAAACUUUCGUCUGUUCGGUAGGCCAUUUGGUCAAGCAAUAAUUUAAUCUGAAUAGCCUAAUAUAACUAGGCUCAUACCUAAACCUAGAUACUAUGAGAAGGUUGGUAUUAUUGAUGGCCAAAAUGCGACUUCUGCAAAGACUAAAAAAUAGUAGUUAAACAAAAAGGAAUAAUACAAAGCUACAAAUUCGGAACAUAUGAUCUAGGUACGGAAGGGCAUAUGUAUGUGGUUAAUUGUUUGAUAAAUUGGCGAGAAAAAAAACCAAAGAGAGAGUUUUGGUAUAUUUAUCGCAAACCACGGAAAACUUGAAAAGUAGUGGGGUCUUCUUAAGAUAGUAGACAAAGGCUUCACUAAAAAAAUAGACAUUGCAAGUAACACUAUCCACUACUCUUUGACCGCUUUUGACAAUGAGAAUAACGCAUGUGCAAAACAUUUUAUGGCGAAAUGUUGAAAUACUUCAAUCGGAUACCGCUUCAAAUCUAUUCCUCAGCACAAAUAUUAUAAUUGGGAGCAGUGGAAUAGAACUACAACCAAAAACAACAUAAUCUGCAAGACAAUUUAUGACCUAUUGUUCACGACAAAAAUUAAUUAAUUGAGAUGCAAAUACAAAACAACUAUAUAUAUAAAUAAUACUUGGGUCAUAACUGAUUUAGUAAUCUCGAUACUUUGGCAGAAAAAGAUGUUGACAACAUUAACUUCAAGAUACAGCAAUUACUAUAAAAUUUUGUCUAUAUUUUUAAAUAAUUGGUUGCUCCCUAAAUAAUUUCACUUUAUCAAAUAGCUAACCAGAAGAUAAUUUAUACAUAUGUACAUAUACCUUAUCCACAGCGAUGCGUGGCCCGGCCAUUAGUUAAUUAUAAAUCAGAUGUUCAAUUUUGGAAAAUCGUAUCGCCAUGAAUGUGAUUAAGCGUUCUUUCUCUAAGUAUGAGUAUUUAUAUACUUCCCGUCUAAAACAAAACAAAAAAAAAAUAAUCCAAAAAUAUCUACAUAUAUGUUUAGUCAAUUGACAUUGUUGGAAUCAUUACUUUUUUCACCAGCUUCAUCAUCAGUAUUAUGUUCAUCAUCAAGUUCAACCCUCUUUUUUUAGAAGGGCAGACUUCUAAACUUAAGUCUUUUCUAAACUAGGCUUUUAUACAAACUUUUGUACACAAAACAGCAAUAAGUUGAUUUAAUGGAUUAAAAGAAUCCACAAAAUAAUUUUGGACGGCGGUAAAGUGCAGUUGAUCAAGAUAACUAACAUUUUACGAUAUAUACUUACAGAUUGGAUAUGUAUUUGGAUAUGCUAUUUCUAUGAAAAAUUUAAUGUAAACCCGAUUUUUCCGUCUGUACGUGACAAUGAAGGAAAAAAAUUCCAUCAUGUCACACCAAAGUGCAAUCAUCCAAUAUAACUUAACAAUGAUAACAAUAGCUAAUAUGGAUUGGGCUUCCAAUAACUUUUGUAUUCUCCAAAUUCUGCCUUCAGGCCUAUCUUUUUCCAAACAAAAUCAAACUCUAAUAUGUAAGGAAGGACUAAGAUCGGGUAUAAUCGAACAUUUUAUACUCUGACAAUUUAUUUAUUUAAUGUUUUUAGAUAACACACCAUUCGACCCAUAUACUAGGCAUAAAGACCUUUUAAAUUAAAAUAAUUACUUAUACAUAUGUAUAUAGUAUAUGGGGCUGGACUAUUUUGCCACCAAGCUAUAUUAUAUGUUCAAUUAAUUUUGUUAAGGUAUCUCACUUAUUUCUCGAUAUAUAGGGUAAUAAAUCCUUCGAGAAGUGUGAAAAUCCAUUUAUCAGGCAUCUGGUUAAGAGCCUCCGCUUAAGUGCCUAUCCCGCUUAAGUGACUGUAAUAUUUAGGCCACAAAUACAAAAUUGUUUGCAAUUUUUCUCUUUUAAGUGCAUUUUAAUAUUUAUGACAUUGAAUACGCUGAGAAUUGUCAAAAGGAAAACACAUAUAUAGUUUUAUAAUGUUUUUUUUUUUCAUAUUUAUUGUUAUUAAUAAGUAUAUUUGUACAUAUUAAUAAAAAAUAAAUGUAACGUUCAUUCUAAAAGAAAAAAUAUUGGAUCGAAGUAUUUGAGAAAAAGCUUAGUGAGUACCUCGAGGCACUUAAGCGGGAUUAAUUACCCUUUCCCGCUUAAGUGUCCUAAAAAUUUUGCAUGUUAAGAAGGGGCACUUAAGCGGGGAUUACUGUAUAUUAAUUUUUACUCAAGAAAAGUAUAUUGUCAAAACAUUUGUAGUGCUACUAUAAUAAUGCGCAGAAGUCUUAUUUAUUUUUGGUUAGGCUCUAACUCCUUCAUUAUUUUUUUAUUUAUUAUAUUCAUAGAUAUUUGUAUGUAUUCGCAUAUACUAUACACAAACCGUGCAUUACCAAGCCAAGCAUAUAAUAACGGCACAUUCGAUGUACAUAUACAUAUGUAUGUAUUUCUAAAUAAGAGUAUAUUAUGUUGUGAAUAAGGAAAUCGAAUGCUGGCUUACUUAACAGGUUUAGCUGCUUUAAACUCUUAAACAAAAUAAAAAAAUUGAAGAAAUGAGGAAGUAAAUUUCUCAGACUUGAUUUACACUUUGCUGGUGUAAAGUGUACAAAUUUGUGUAUGCAUACACAUACUAUUUCAUUGAAAUUGUGCACAAGAGCGAAAGUUUUUAAACAUCUCGGUAUUGAAAUUGUUCAAUAGUAGUUCGAUAUUAUAAAUCAAUAUUUAAGUAUUACGGGCAAGAAUAAUUCAUGUAAGUAAAAUAAUUGAAUCUCCACAAAGUCUUUUAAAAUGCCCUGCUAGUUUAUGAAUUUAACAGCCUAACUUGGAAGCCAACAAUAGCUGACGACAGCUAAAGAAAGCGAGCGUGAAUCGUAAAUUCACUGAGCAAAACACAAAAGGCACCACCACAGCGCUUGUCGGUCUAAUCGUUGGCUAGCUACGAAGCUCAGAGUGAGUUUAGGCAAACUAGUGAAGUAUUGCAAGCAUUUUUGUGCAAAAGACUACUGUUUCCAAGUGCAAAAUAUAUAUCUCCAAAAAUACUAUCAGUUGUAUGGAAGUAAAUAAUAUUGAAACAAAAAUUUUUAUAGGGUCUCGAAAAUAAUUUCACAAUAUCUGAAAUAGCUAAUAACCACAUAAAUUGGAAUCAAUUUUAACGUUCACCAAUACAUGUAAAAUAUAAAGAGAAUUCCAAGCGAAACGAUAUCGCGAGACAGUAUGUUACUAAUAUCAACGUUGGACGGCAAUUGGGAAAAACUAAUAGUCCUCAACCAUGUUAAUUUAACGUAUAGUCAAUGUCUUUGGACGCAGUGAAGCUGACGAUGACGAUUCGAGUGAAUAUGAAGAGGAUAUCUACUAUGAAGAUUUAUAUAAUAAUUACGAACGAUGGACGCGAAGACAAAUGCGCUAUCGGCAUCAAUUGCGGCGUCAAGAACAAGAAAUCUUAAGUCAAUU